rnacentral:rRNA from 1 species
UACGUAGGGGGCAAGCGUUUGUCCGGAAUUAUUGGGCGUAAAGAGCGUGUAGGCGGUCCGGUAAGUCAGCUGUGAAAGUCAAGGGCUCAACCCUUGAAAGCCGGUUGAUACUGUCGGGCUAGAGUCCGGAAGAGGCGAGUGGAAUUCCCGGUGUAGCGGUGAAAUGCGCAGAUAUCGGGAAGAACACCCGUGGCGAAGGCGGUUCUCUGGGACGGUACUGACGCUGAGACGCGAAAGCGUGGGGAGCGAACAGG